ensembl:misc_RNA Metazoa_SRP Metazoan signal recognition particle RNA
GCUGGGCAUGGUGGUGUGUGCCUAUAGUCCCAGCUACUCAGGAGGCGGAGGCAGGGGUAUUGCUUGAGCCCAGGAAUUCAAGGCUGCAGUGAGUUAUGAUCACACCACUGCACUCCAGCCUGGGUGACAGAGCAAGACCCUGUCUCUA